rnacentral:lncRNA from 1 species
CAAUAGGUAUGCUUAUUCCUUAACAGUUUAAUGCAUGGCCUUAUGUGUUUACUGCAGUGGUUUGCAUUAAUAACUACAUUUCGGUGUGUGCUAAUUUGCCUUUCUAACCCCUGUCGACCUAUCGGAAUGUGCUAAUUUGCCUUUCUAACCCCUGUUGACCUAUCGGAUUGUGCCUUCGCCUUUUGCAAUUCUUUGAAGUCCCUGCUUAUUGCGUGCCAGAUGUGUGUUGCUGUUGCCAUUUUUUCGACUGCUUUGUCGUUUCUGCGUCAGUCUGUG